GAUGAACGCUGGCGGUAUGCUUAACACAUGCAAGUCGAACGGACUCUUCGUAGUUAGUGGCGGACGGGUGAGUAACGCGUGAGAAUCUGGCUUUGGGUUCGGGACAACCACUGGACACGGUGGCUAAUACCGGAUGUGCCGAGAGGUAAAAGAGAAAUUGCCUGAAGAUUAGCUCGCGUCUGAUUAGCUAGUUGGUGAGGUAAAGGCUCACCAAGGCAGCGAUCAGUAGCUGGUCUGAGAGGAUGACCAGCCACACUGGGACUGAGACACGGCCAAGACUCCUACGGGAGGAAGCAGGGGGGAAUUUUCCGCAAUGGGCGAAAGCCUGACGGAGCAAUACCGCGUGAGGGAAGAAGGCUCUUGGGUUGUAAACCUCUUUGCUUAGGGAAGAACAAAAUGACGGUACCUAAGGAAUCAGCACCGGCUAACUCCGUG
rnacentral:rRNA from 1 species